UACGAAGGGGGCUAGCGUUGCUCGGAAUCACUGGGCGUAAAGGGUGCGUAGGCGGGUCUUUAAGUCAGGGGUGAAAUCCUGGAGCUCAACUCCAGAACUGCCUUUGAUACUGAGGAUCUUGAGUACGGGAGAGGUGAGUGGAACUGCGAGUGUAGAGGUGAAAUUCGUAGAUAUUCGCAAGAACACCAGUGGCGAAGGCGGCUCACUGGCCCGUAACUGACGCUGAGGCACGAAAGCGUGGGUAGCAAACAGG
rnacentral:rRNA from 1 species